rnacentral:rRNA from 1 species
GAGGGGUAGCAAUACCCUGAGAGCGGCGCACGGGUGCGUAACGCGUAUGCAACCUGCCUUAUACAGGGGGAUAGCCCAUGGAAACGUGGAUUAAUAUCCCAUAGGACAUUUGAAUCGCAUGGUUUAGAUGUUAAAGCUGAGGUGGUAUAAGAUGGGCAUGCGUCUGAUUAGGUAGUUGGUAGGGUAACGGCCUACCAAGCCGACGAUCAGUAGGGGUUCUGAGAGGAUUACCCCCCACACUGGUACUGAGACACGGACCAGACUCCUACGGGAGGCAGCAGUGGGGAAUAUUGGUCAAUGGGCGAGAGCCUGAACCAGCCAUCCCGCGUGCAGGAUGACGGCCCUAUGGGUUGUAAACUGCUUUUCUGCUCCAAGAAACCUGAUUACGAGUAAUCAGUUGACGGUAGAGCAGGAAUAAGCAUCGGCUAACUCCGUGCCAGCAGCCGCGGUAAUACGGAGGAUGCAAGCGUUAUCCGGAUUCAUUGGGUUUAAAGGGUGCGCAGGUGGGAAUGUAAGUCAGUGGUGAAAUACUGCCGCUUAACGGUAGAACUGCCAUUGAUACUGCGUUUCUUGAGUAUGGUUGAGGUAGGUGGAAUGUGUUGUGUAGCGGUGAAAUGCAUAGAUAUGACACAGAACGCCGAUUGCGAAGGCAACUUACUAAGCCAUUACUGACGCUGAGGCACGAAAGCGUGGGUAGCGAACACGAUUAGAUACCCUGGUAGUCCACGCUGUAAACGAUGUUCACUCGCUGUUUGCGAUACACAGUAAGCGGCUGAGCGAAAGCAUUAAGUGAACCACCUGGGGAGUACGAUC